rnacentral:rRNA from 1 species
GGUUAAGCGACUAAGCGUACACGGUGGAUGCCCUGGCAGUCAGAGGCGAUGAAGGACGUGCUAAUCUGCGAUAAGCGUCGGUAAGGUGAUAUGAACCGUUAUAACCGGCGAUUUCCGAAUGGGGAAACCCAGUGUGUUUCGACACACUAUCAUUAACUGAAUCCAUAGGUUAAUGAGGCGAACCGGGGGAACUGAAACAUCUAAGUACCCCGAGGAAAAGAAAUCAACCGAGAUUCCCCCAGUAGCGGCGAGCGAACGGGGAGGAGCCCAGAGCCUGAAUCAGUGUGUGUGUUAGUGGAAGCGUCUGGAAAGGCGCGCGAUACAGGGUGACAGCCCCGUACACAAAAAUGCACAUGCUGUGAGCUCGAUGAGUAGGGCGGGACACGUGGUAUCCUGUCUGAAUAUGGGGGGACCAUCCUCCAAGGCUAAAUACUCCUGACUGACCGAUAGUGAACCAGUACCGUGAGGGAAAGGCGAAAAGAACCCCGGCGAGGGGAGUGAAAAAGAACCUGAAACCGUGUACGUACAAGCAGUGGGAGCACGCUUAGGCGUGUGACUGCGUACCUUUUGUAUAAUGGGUCAGCGACUUAUAUUCUGUAGCAAGGUUAACCGAAUAGGGGAGCCGAAGGGAAACCGAGUCUUAACUGGGCGUUAAGUUGCAGGGUAUAGACCCGAAACCCGGUGAUCUAGCCAUGGGCAGGUUGAAGGUUGGGUAACACUAACUGGAGGACCGAACCGACUAAUGUUGAAAAAUUAGCGGAUGACUUGUGGCUGGGGGUGAAAGGCCAAUCAAACCGGGAGAUAGCUGGUUCUCCCCGAAAGCUAUUUAGGUAGCGCCUCGUGAAUUCAUCUCCGGGGGUAGAGCACUGUUUCGGCAAGGGGGUCAUCCCGACUUACCAACCCGAUGCAAACUGCGAAUACCGGAGAAUGUUAUCACGGGAGACACACGGCGGGUGCUAACGUCCGUCGUGAAGAGGGAAACAACCCAGACCGCCAGCUAAGGUCCCAAAGUCAUGGUUAAGUGGGAAACGAUGUGGGAAGGCCCAGACAGCCAGGAUGUUGGCUUAGAAGCAGCCAUCAUUUAAAGAAAGCGUAAUAGCUCACUGGUCGAGUCGGCCUGCGCGGAAGAUGUAACGGGGCUAAACCAUGCACCGAAGCUGCGGCAGCGACGCUUAUGCGUUGUUGGGUAGGGGAGCGUUCUGUAAGCCUGUGAAGGUGUGCUGUGAGGCAUGCUGGAGGUAUCAGAAGUGCGAAUGCUGACAUAAGUAACGAUAAAGCGGGUGAAAAGCCCGCUCGCCGGAAGACCAAGGGUUCCUGUCCAACGUUAAUCGGGGCAGGGUGAGUCGACCCCUAAGGCGAGGCCGAAAGGCGUAGUCGAUGGGAAACAGGUUAAUAUUCCUGUACUUGGUGUUACUGCGAAGGGGGGACGGAGAAGGCUAUGUUGGCCGGGCGACGGUUGUCCCGGUUUAAGCGUGUAGGCUGGUUUUCCAGGCAAAUCCGGAAAAUCAAGGCUGAGGCGUGAUGACGAGGCACUACGGUGCUGAAGCAACAAAUGCCCUGCUUCCAGGAAAAGCCUCUAAGCAUCAGGUAACAUCAAAUCGUACCCCAAACCGACACAGGUGGUCAGGUAGAGAAUACCAAGGCGCUUGAGAGAACUCGGGUGAAGGAACUAGGCAAAAUGGUGCCGUAACUUCGGGAGAAGGCACGCUGAUAUGUAGGUGAAGCGACUUGCUCGUGGAGCUGAAAUCAGUCGAAGAUACCAGCUGGCUGCAACUGUUUAUUAAAAACACAGCACUGUGCAAACACGAAAGUGGACGUAUACGGUGUGACGCCUGCCCGGUGCCGGAAGGUUAAUUGAUGGGGUUAGCGCAAGCGAAGCUCUUGAUCGAAGCCCCGGUAAACGGCGGCCGUAACUAUAACGGUCCUAAGGUAGCGAAAUUCCUUGUCGGGUAAGUUCCGACCUGCACGAAUGGCGUAAUGAUGGCCAGGCUGUCUCCACCCGAGACUCAGUGAAAUUGAACUCGCUGUGAAGAUGCAGUGUACCCGCGGCAAGACGGAAAGACCCCGUGAACCUUUACUAUAGCUUGACACUGAACAUUGAGCCUUGAUGUGUAGGAUAGGUGGGAGGCUUAGAAGUGUGGACGCCAGUCUGCAUGGAGCCGACCUUGAAAUACCACCCUUUAAUGUUUGAUGUUCUAACGUUGACCCGUAAUCCGGGUUGCGGACAGUGUCUGGUGGGUAGUUUGACUGGGGCGGUCUCCUCCUAAAGAGUAACGGAGGAGCACGAAGGUUGGCUAAUCCUGGUCGGACAUCAGGAGGUUAGUGCAAUGGCAUAAGCCAGCUUGACUGCGAGCGUGACGGCGCGAGCAGGUGCGAAAGCAGGUCAUAGUGAUCCGGUGGUUCUGAAUGGAAGGGCCAUCGCUCAACGGAUAAAAGGUACUCCGGGGAUAACAGGCUGAUACCGCCCAAGAGUUCAUAUCGACGGCGGUGUUUGGCACCUCGAUGUCGGCUCAUCACAUCCUGGGGCUGAAGUAGGUCCCAAGGGUAUGGCUGUUCGCCAUUUAAAGUGGUACGCGAGCUGGGUUUAGAACGUCGUGAGACAGUUCGGUCCCUAUCUGCCGUGGGCGCUGGAGAACUGAGGGGGGCUGCUCCUAGUACGAGAGGACCGGAGUGGACGCAUCACUGGUGUUCGGGUUGUCAUGCCAAUGGCACUGCCCGGUAGCUAAAUGCGGAAGAGAUAAGUGCUGAAAGCAUCUAAGCACGAAACUUGCCCCGAGAUGAGUUCUCCCUGACCCUUUAAGGGUCCUGAAGGAACGUUGAAGACGACGACGUUGAUAGGCCGGGUGUGUAAGCGCAGCGAUGCGUUGAGCUAACCGGUACUAAUGAACCGUGAGGCUUAACCUU